rnacentral:sRNA from 1 species
GGAGCCACACCUGGAGCUUAGGAUGACCUCCUCACAUCUCUGCUCAACAGCUUGAGGCUGGGAUCACCCACUGCAUCUAGUAAAAUGGGGGACCCCAUCCACCUUCCCUGUGCCUGAGGCACUCAGUGGGGGACUGGUGGGGCACACUCAGUGGGAUUCCCCCUAUUCAUGCCCCGGGGCCCUCCUCGCCAGCCAAGGCAAGACAGCAGACCCCGUCUCAUUCACACACCCGGCCCUGGGGCUGCUCUUUCUUGGUCUAGGGGAUCAGCUGCUCAGUGCAACCGUGUUCUUUGACAACAUAAAAUAUGAAGAUGCUCUCAAAAUCCUUCAAUACUCAGAGCCAUACAAGGUUCAGUUCAAAAUCCGACGGCAGCUCCCUGCCCCACAGGAUGAAGAGUGGGCUUCCAGCGAUGCCCAGCACGGCCCACAGGAUAAGGAGAAGGAGGACACAGAUGUUGCUGAUGGGUGCAGAGAGACCCCCACGAAAACUCUGGAAGGAGAUGGGGACCAAGAGAGACUCAUCCCCCAACCCAGGGUGGGUAGAGGCAGGCAGACCCAGAGGGAGAGGCUCUCUUGGCCAAAAUUUCAAUCCAUAAAGAGCAAGCGGGGGCCAGGACCCCAGAGGUCACACAGCUCGUCAGAGGCCUACGAGCCCAGGGAUACACAUGACGUGUCCCCUACAAGCACAGACACAGAGGCCCAGCUCACGGUGGAGCGCCAAGAGCAGAAGGCAGGGCCGGGCAGCCAGAGGAGGCGGAAGUUCCUCAACCUGAGAUUCAGGACAGGCUCGGGACAGGGCCCUUCAUCGACAGGACAGCCAGGCAGGGGGUCCCAGAGUGGGGUGGGCCGUGCUGGGGUCCUGGAAGAGUUGGGGCCCUGGGGUGAUGGCCUCGAGGACACUGGGGCUGCCAGAGGCAGCAGGAGAGAGGACAGAGCAGAACAGGAUCGAGAAGUGAUGCCUGCUCAGAGCAUGCAGUUGCCCACAGAGCUCGGUGACCCUAGACUUUGCGAGGGAACCCCUCAGGAAGGGGGACUCAGGGCAGCCAGGCUCCACGGAAAGACCCUGGAGGGGCAGGCACAGGAGACAGCACUGGCCCAGAGGAAGCCCAGGGCCCAGCCAGCUCCUGGAAUCAGCCGGGAGGGUGAAGGCGAAGGACUGCAGAGCCUGGAAAUCGGGAUCGCCAGACUGUCCUUGAGAGACAGAACCGAAGGAGGCACACAGAUCAGCCCACCAGAAAUUAGGGUGCGAAUACACGAUUUAAAGACACCAAAAUUUGCAUUUUCCACAGAAAAAGAGCCAGAAAGAGAAAGGCGCCUUAGUACCCCACAGCGAGGGAAGAGACAGGAUGCGUCCUCAAAAGCGGCUACUGGCCUGAAGGGUGAGGAGGUGGAAGGAGCAGGGUGGGUGCCGGGUAGUGAACCAACCACACAUGCAGAAGCACAGGAGGGUGAAGGAGAUGGAGAGGAAGGACUACAGAGGACAAGGAUCACUGAGGAACAGGACAAGGACGGGGAAGACACAGAAGGACAGAUGAGAAUGCCCAAGUUCAAGAUACCCUCCUUAGGAUGGUCGCCAAGCAAGCACACAAAGACAGGCAGAGAAAAAGCCACACAAGACACACAGCAGCGAAGGGCAGGACAGGCCAUAGAAACAGCCGACAGAAGAGAACAGAGAACAGAGGAAGGAUUAAAAGACAAAGAAGAC